AGUUAGUAUAACUCAUAUAAUUUUGGAAAUAAGGUCCGGAAGUUUCUACCAAGCAACCGUAAAUUGCUUGACUAUGAGCGUUGGUUU
rnacentral:ncRNA from 1 species